GCCAGGUGUGGUGGUGUAUACCUGUAAUCCCAGCUACUCAGGAGGCUGAGGCAGGAGAAUUGCUUGAAUCCAGGAGGUUGAGGUUGCAGUGAGCUGAGAUUGCACCACUGCAUGCCAGCCUGGGUGACAGAGCUAGACCCUGUCUCAA
rnacentral:SRP_RNA from 1 species